ACAUAAUUGAGAAUCGUUAACGCGUCCUCGAGGGAGAUCGAGCGGCUGGAUUUUGCUAGGUCCUCUCUUACUCUCCGCCGCCGUUACCAUCAGCUUGCCUGCCUCUUCUCGUCCCGGCUUCCUAGCCACGGUGUUGGUGACCUUCAACCGAUCAAGAGUGGAUGGACCUCGUUGGCCAGCGGGCCGAGGUAUAAGGUCAAGGUUGCUGUCGUCGGUGUGCACGGGAUAUGCGACCUCCGGGAUAUGCAUCGAGCGAGAUGCGCGCGCAAUUAGCGCAUGCGCGCCGCCAGCCGGCUUGUCGUGCGUCGCAGCGUGUCGCGCAAGUCAUUGCCAAGGUCUUUGCUGGUCACGGGCAAACCGUUAUAAGUAGCGAUGGACACGAACCGAAAUGCAAUUCUUAGACUAUAUAAUUAAUAUAUAUAUAUUAUUAAAUACUUUUAGAAUAUUGGUUUGAAUUCGAUGAUUGGACAAAUUAUGAAUCUGUAUUGUACAUAAUUUGAAUUUGGUACAAGAUCACGAGGAUUUCGAUCCCAUCGCUAGUCGUAUGUAGCCAGUUGAAACUGAUGCAAAGCCGCCGAUGAUUUUUCCAGGGGAAAAGCAAUCACGAAAGAAAUAAACGCGCGCGUCGCGACGCCUGCGUCACUACACCCGGCGUACAUCCAUGGCCAAGGUUCUCCCCGGUCACGGGCAACCCGUUAUACGUAGCUGGGAGCCAACACUUGCCCGAGGUCGUCCAUGACUAUCUUAUUCGCCCCAAGGCUUGGAAAAAGUUGAUUUCAGGAAGAUCCACCUAAUACGCUAUGAAAAUAUACAACGCAGAGAUGAACAUUAUUUUCAUGCAUACAAAUGAUUUUACCUUGAAUUAAAACAUUCAAAAGAAGAACUUUGUACGUUAAAGAUUUCUGGUUAUUUUCUUCUCUUCUUGGAAUGUAUUACCGGUAUCCAUCCUUUUCUUGUGAUGGAACAGGGUUUGGGAGUUGAUGUUGGCUCGUCCGGGGGCGGCAAGUUCAAGGCUACCACGUCCAGGUCACGUCCGGGCAUGCUAACCCAAAUACGAUUACGGUCUGAGUACAGUGGAGAGUCGAGACAACAAACUUGAGAUCCAGUUGGAGUUUGCUAGGCCAAUGGAACAAGGAUCUAGUCCAAUUCCCCUUUCAGGAUUACACUCCUCAGCGGGCCUGUGGCUUCCUCGUUCUUCCGGAAUGUUUGAAAGAUAUCGCGUAUCGUGUCGCCGUCGAUGCUAUUAGUUUUGCGAAAACCUUUAAUCGCGUGGGGAAAACUGGACUGUUUUCGUAAUCCGAUGAAACGUUCGUACGUUGUGACCUGACCUUCUUAACUUCGACGUUGCUUCUUCUUAUUUUCAGAUAUUUUAUUAAAAGAUAGCUCCUCUCUUCUUUUUUCUUCAUUUUAUCCAUUUUUUUUAAAGGCCUGUUUGUUUUUCGCUCGCGUUGUUUUUCGCAUGUAAUCCGAUGUUCUUGAGCGUCUGUGUCAAUUUAUCGCGCGCAUUUCAGAUAUCUUCCCGAUUACGAAAUUAACAGCGAAAUUACUAGCCGAUUAAAAUUCUGGCACCGCUUUUUAAACGCGCUCUCGCGGUUGAUUGCGAUUCAUGCAGUUGCAUCAUACCUGUGAAAGAACAAUAAUACGUAGUAGCUGUAGACUGUUUCAUGUCGAUUACCUUGAACGAAUAGAGUCCCUGUAUAUUAUGGAUAUAAUUUCAGUCUUUUAGCUCGCUAAAUUAAUAAAAUCAUCUAUUGUGACACGUUGUUAUUAUUAAUCAUCGCGAUCGAUGAGAAGCAUUGAACGUAUAUUCAUUAACUGUUUAGACUCGAGUUAAAUUUUACUUAUAAACAAAUAGAAUCUUUUAUUGUGUAAAUCCAAUUUCUUGUGACAUUUGAUCUUCUGAUUUUUGUAGUUUGGACCGUUUUAUCAAUUUCUAUUUUUUUGUAUGACUAUAUGCCAUAAUAUAAAAUUUGUAUAUUUUGCACCUAUCCAUCUGUGAUGUAUACAAAAGGAUGCAAUGCGCCGCAAGUUA
rnacentral:lncRNA from 1 species